GCGGCGGCGGCGCAGCGCGGAACGCGGGCCGGAGCGCAGGAGCCGACGGGCCCGGCCGCGAUGGUGCAGCGGCGGCUCCGCGGCGCGCGCACGCUCUGAGUGGGCCCGGGCUGGGCCCCGCGCCCCCCGCGCCCCCCGCCGCCCCGGUCCCGGCCCCGGCCGGCAUGAUGUGCCUGGAGUGCGCCUCGGCGGCGGCGGGCGGCGCGGAGGAGGAGGAGGCGGACGCGGAGCGGCGGCGCCGGCGCCGGGGGGCGCAGCGAGGGGCUGGAGGCGGCGGCUGCUGCGGGGCGCGGGGAGUGGGCGCCGCGGGAGCCGCGGCCGCGGACGACGAGGUGCAGACGCUGUCGGGCAGCGUGAGGCGGGCGCCGUCCGGACCCCCCGGCACCCCCGGCUGCGCGGCCGCUGCCAAGGGCCCCGGAGCUCAGCAGCCCAAGCCGGCCAGCUUGGGCCGCGGACGGGGGGCCGCUGCCGCCAUCCUAAGCUUGGGCAACGUGCUCAACUACCUGGACAGGUACACCGUAGCAGGCGUCCUUCUGGACAUCCAGCAGCAGUUUGGGGUCAAGGACCGAGGCGCCGGCUUGCUGCAGUCAGUGUUCAUCUGCAGUUUCAUGGUGGCCGCCCCCAUCUUCGGCUACCUGGGUGACCGCUUCAACAGGAAAGUGAUCCUCAGCUGCGGUGUCUUCUUCUGGUCGGCGGUCACCUUCUCCAGCUCCUUCAUCCCACGGCAGCACUUCUGGCUGCUGGUCCUGUCGCGGGGGCUGGUGGGCAUCGGCGAGGCCAGCUACUCCACCAUCGCGCCCACCAUCAUCGGCGACCUCUUCACCAAGAACACGCGCACGCUCAUGCUGUCCGUCUUCUACUUUGCCAUCCCGCUGGGCAGCGGCCUGGGCUACAUCACGGGCUCCAGCGUGAAGCAGGCGGCUGGAGACUGGCGCUGGGCCUUGCGGGUGUCCCCCAUCGUGGGCAUGAUCACAGGAACACUCAUCCUGAUCCUGGUCCCGGCCACCAAGAGAGGCCACGCUGACCAGCUCGGGGGGCAGCUCAAGGUGCGGACCUCGUGGCUCCGAGACAUGAAGGCCCUGAUCCGCAACCGCAGCUACGUCUUCUCCUCCCUGGCCACGUCGGCCGUGUCCUUCGCCACAGGGGCCCUGGGCAUGUGGAUCCCGCUGUACUUGCACCGAGCUCAGGUGGUGCAGAAGACAGCAGACGCGUGCAGCAGCCCGCCGUGCGGGGCCAAGGACAGCCUCAUCUUCGGGGCCAUCACCUGCUUCACUGGCUUCCUGGGUGUCGUCACGGGGGCGGGAGCCACGCGAUGGUGCCGCCUGCGGACCCAGCGGGCCGACCCCCUGGUGUGUGCCGUGGGCAUGCUGGGUUCGGCCAUCUUUGUCUGCCUCAUCUUCGUGGCUGCCAAGAGCAGCAUCGUGGGUGCCUACGUCUGCAUCUUUGUUGGGGAGACACUGCUGUUCUCUAACUGGGCCAUCACCGCGGACAUCCUCAUGUACGUGGUCAUCCCCACGAGACGGGCCACGGCCGUGGCCCUGCAGAGCUUCACGUCGCACCUGCUGGGGGACGCCGGGAGCCCCUACCUCAUCGGCUUUAUCUCCGACCUGAUCCGCCAGAGCACCAAGGACUCCCCGCUCUGGGAGUUCCUGAGCCUGGGCUACGCCCUCAUGCUCUGCCCCUUCGUGGUGGUCCUGGGCGGCAUGUUCUUCCUGGCCACGGCCCUCUUCUUCCUGGGCGACCGCGCCAAGGCCGAGCAGCAGUCCCUGCCCGGCACGUCCGGCCAGCCGGCCCCCGAGAUGCGAUGCGCCAGAGCAGUGCCCGGGCCCGGCCGCAGCUGAUCCGCCACCUUGACCCCCGCCCGUCUCUCCCCCAGGGUGAACCAGCUGGCGAUGCCACCCGCACCCGUCAAAGUCUGAGGCCGUGCCCCCAGGAUGGCGAAGAGACCGUGCCGUCGCCCUACCCGGGAGGCGUCCCAGGGCAUCCCGGCCCUGCCGGGCUGACGCGAAGCUUUCUAUGUGACCCGAGGCUGGGCACCCACCCUCUCUGGUGCGGGCCUGCCGAGUGGCCGUGGCACCAAGAGGCCGCGUCCUCAACUGACGUGGAAGGCUGCGUGUGGGGGAGCCGCACGGACGGACAGACUCCCAGCCGCUGGGGCCCAGGGAGGACGCAGCCCCCAGUGCGUCUGUGGGGAGAGCCUGGGGCGUCACCACCUUACAUGGUCCUGGGCGGCUGGACUUUCCCACGUGGCAGCUUUGGAGACCCUGGACUGCACAGAGAAGGGGCGGCCCAGGCCUCGGGGCGGAGCUUCAGGCUCUGACCUCAGGGUGCUGCUGGGCACUGGGCACGACCCUCCGGAGGGCACCGGUCCCUGCUGCCGGGGCUGGUGCUCGGCCUGGCAGUCUCCUAGGUGAGGGCCACCCAGGCGGAGACCCGACCGCACACCCUGUGCCCACGGUGCCCAGGGCACCUCCACUCCCACCGCGCUCCCCCCCCCCCCCCCGCCACGUGCACUUGCACGCCCCUGCCCCCGCUCCACACACGCUCCCCGCACACUGGCUGGAAUCAAGGUGGCGGGUAGGAGACCCCAAGAGCCAGCCUAGGCGACGCUUUGCCCCGUAGUUCCCACCGGCGUGGCUUCAGUGUGUGCAAGCUGGCAGGCACCUGCUCCUCACCCAGCUCUGGGGUACCUGCGAGGGGGUGGGACCCCCCCAAAGACCAGCCUGGCCGCCUCCCACCCCAGCCUCAACCGGGGCCCCAGCGAUGUUUUCUUGUUGUACAAGAACCAGGUCCAAGUUCGCCUCCUCUUCCUUCCGGAAGCCAAACUCCUCCUUUAUUUUUUAGAGCUGCUGAUUGUGAAUCUCAGAGUCUUAAGAGAAAAGCCAAAUAUAUUCCUCUUGUAAAUGAAGGAAUAAACCUAUUUAAAUCAUG